rnacentral:lncRNA from 1 species
UUUACCCGUUGACCUGCAUGAGAAGUGAUUGUGUUGUGUGUGUGUAGCUGGUCCGUAGGAGCACAGGAAUGAAGUGGUAGGGAUGUGAACGUCCCCCCCCCCCCUCAAGACAAUUGGAUACGUAUCUAGAUACAUGGGCUGGAUACGAUAUACAGGAACUAAACUUUUAGUUCGGUUAGAGAACGAGUCGAUGGGAUGUCGGGUCGAUGUAACAACACAUCCAUCUUCCAUUCUAAAUUCAUAGUUGCCAAUAAAUAUCAUCUAUGGUGUAGUAGGAACUGGGUGGGUUCGAGCUCAAUGCUGAUUGGCUGACCGGCAUGGUUAUCAGGUAAAAUACAAAAACAUUUUUUUAGGGCCCUACAUUACAUUGAUAACCCGUUUGAUAUAGCAAUGAGGCACCUCUGGGGAUUGUGAUAUAUAGCCAUAUACCACGGCGAAGGACUGUAUCCAGGCACUCCGCGUUGCGUCGUGCCUAAGAACAGCCGCUUAGCCGUGUUUAUUGGCCGUUACCACACCUCCUCAGGCCUCGGUGCAUAUGAAGUAGGCCCCAGAGACCAGCCACUAUGGAUGGUACAGAAGUAUACUUUGAUCCCACCGAUCUGAUAGCAACACAAUUGAGGUUUACGUAUCAAUGAACCCAGUCUGUGUGUGUGUGUGUUCUGGUUACUACUCGAGCACGGUGAUAGCAGCGUUGGUAGCUAGUUUGAUGCCCCAGUCUGUGUGUGUGUCUGUCUGUACCUGGUCUCUCGGAGCAAGGUGAGCAGCGUUGGUACUAGUUUGAUGCCCCAGUCUCUCUGUGUGUAUGUGGUGUGUGUGUGUGUGUGUGUGUGUGGUGUGUCGGUCUACUCGGAGCACGGUGAUAGCAGCGUUGGUAGCUAGUUUGAUGCCUCGUCUGUGUGUGUGUGUGUGUCUGUACCUGGUCUACUCGGAGCACGGUGAUAGCAGCGUUGGUAGCUAGUUUGAUGCCCCAGUUGCUGUUGGUGUGUGUGUGGUGUGUCUGACUGGUCUACUCGGAGCACGCGAUGAUAGCAGCGUUGGUAGCAGUUUGAUUUGCCCCAGUCUGUGUGUGUGUGUGUUCUGUGUGUGUGUGUGUGUUGUGUGUGUGUGUGUGCUGUACCUGUCUAUCGGAGCACGGGUUGAUAGCAGCGUUUGGUAGCUAGUUUGAUGCCCCAGUGUUGACCGGAAAGGCCAGGAUCCCAGCCUCAAGCAUUGUACUUCAGGAGCAGUCCCCGUCUCCCUGUGUUACAUUACACCACAUCCUGUCAGGCUUUGUAAAGAACCCAUUUUAAACAGGCACGCCUAUACACUUCCAUGGAAAGUCAACAGACCUGAAUGUCUUAAGGUGCACUGGAUUUAAUGAGCCUGGC